UACGUAGGGGCGAGCGUUAUCCGGAAUCAUUGGGCGUAAAGGGUGCGUAGGCGGUUAUGCAAGUUAGGGGUGAAAGGCUACGGCUCAACCGUAGUAAGCCUUUAAAACUGCAUGACUUGAGUGCAGGAGAGGAGAGUGGAAUUCCUAGUGUAGCGGUGAAAUGCGUAGAUAUUAGGAGGAACACCAGUGGCGAAGGCGACUCUCUGGACUGUAACUGACGCUGAGGCACGAAAGCGUGGGGAGCGAACAGG
rnacentral:rRNA from 1 species